rnacentral:rRNA from 1 species
AAGGUGUAACAAGGUUUCCGUAGGUGAACCUGCGGAAGGAUCAUUACCUUUCAGUACAGAAGCGUUGUGUUGGUUGAGUUGUGCCGGUUGAGUCUCGCUGACAAGUGGGAUUCCUGGUGGCAACUCCCUUCAUAAUUCUCCCUGUCUAUCAUCCUUGUCUUUUGCGUACUAUUGUUUCCUCGGUGGGCUUGCCCACCGGUUGGACAACCUUAUAACCUAUUUAAUUUUCAAUCAGCGUCUGAAAUAAUAUAAUAAUUACAACUUUCAACAACGGAUCUCUUGGUUCUGGCAUCGAUGAAGAACGCAGCGAAAUGCGAUAAGUAGUGUGAAUUGCAGAAUUCAGUGAAUCAUCGAAUCUUUGAACGCACAUUGCGCCCCUUGGUAUUCCAUGGGGCAUGCCUGUUCGAGCGUCAUUUGUACCCUCAAGCUUUGCUUGGUGUUGGGUGUUUGUCUUUUCCACGCGAUCAGACUCGCCUUAAAAAAAUUGGCAGCCAGUGUUUUGGUUUUGAAGCGCAGCACAAGUCGCGAUUCAGCUUAUAUCACUAGUUUCCAUUAAGCAUUUUAUCACUUUUGACCUCGGAUCAGGUAGGGAUACCCGC